GGAUUGUGGCUCAGUGGUAGAGUGCUCGCCUCGCAUGGGCGGGACCAGGGUUAGAUCCUCAGCACCA
rnacentral:tRNA from 1 species